AUUGAACGCUGGCGGCAGGCCUAACACAUGCAAGUCGAACGAGUGGCGGACGGGUGAGUAAUGUCUGGGAAACUGCCCGAUGGAGGGGUAUAACUACGGGAAACGUUAGCUAAUACCGCAUACCAUCGGAUUUGCCCAGAUGGGAUUGGCUAGUAGUUGGGGUAACGGCUCACCUAGGCGACGAUCCCUAGCUGGUCUGAGAGGUUGACCAGCCACACUGGAACUGGGAACCGGUCCAGACUCCUACGGGGGGCAGCAGUGGGGAAUAUUGCACAAUGGGCGCAAGCCUGAUGCAGCCAUGCCGCGUGUAUGAAGAGGGCCUUCGGGUUGUAAAGUACUUUCAGCGAGGAGGCGUUACUCGCAGAAGAAGCAACGGCUAACUCCGUGCCAGCAGCCGCGGUAAUUC
rnacentral:rRNA from 1 species